rnacentral:hammerhead_ribozyme from 1 species
AUCCAUCUGAUGAGUCUCAAAUAGGCCGAAACACGUGUCCUGAAU